rnacentral:rRNA from 1 species
AGCGAACGCUGGCGGCAGGCUUAACACAUGCAAGUCGAGCGCCCCGCAAGGGGGGCGGCCGACGGGUGAGUAACACGUGGGAACGUACCCUUUGGUUCGGAACAACCCAGGGAAACUUGGGCUAAUACCGGAUAAGUCCGCGAGGAGAAAGAUUUAUCGCCGAAGGAUCGGCCCGCGUCUGAUUAGCUAGUUGGUGUGGUAACGGCGCACCAAGGCGACGAUCAGUAGCUGGUCUGAGAGGAUGAUCAGCCACACUGGGACUGAGACACGGCCCAGACUCCUACGGGAGGCAGCAGUGGGGAAUAUUGGACAAUGGGGGCAACCCUGAUCCAGCCAUGCCGCGUGAGUGAUGAAGGCCCUAGGGUUGUAAAGCUCUUUCGGUGGGGAAGAUAAUGACGGUACCCACAGAAGAAGCCCCGGCUAACUUCGUG